rnacentral:tRNA from 1 species
GCCCGUGUAACUCAACUGGAUAGAGUGCCACCCUUCUAAGGUGGAUGUUCGGGGUUCGAGUCCCUGCGCGGGUA